rnacentral:rRNA from 1 species
UUUCAAGUCCGAUGCUAAAGACUGGGGCUCAACCCCAGGGGUGCGUUGGAUACUGUGAGGCUAGACGGUCGGAGGGGGUAGCGGAAUUUCCGGAGUAGCGGUGAAAUGCGCAGAUACCGGAAGGAACGCCAAUAGCGAAGGCAGCUACCUGGACGACUUGUGACGCUGAGGCGCGAAAGCGUGGGGAGCAAACCGGAUUAGAUACCCGGGUAGUCCACGCCCUAAACCAUGAGUGCUGGGUGUCCGGCUUCUGCUGGGUGCCGUAGCUAACGCGCUAAGCACUCCGCCUGGGAAGUACGCACGCAAGUGUGAAACUCAAAGGAAUUGACGGGGGCCCGCACAAGCGGUGGAGCAUGUGGUUUAAUUCGAAGCGACGCGAAGAACCUUACCAGGCCUUGACAUGCCCGGAACCCCUCUGAAAGGAGGGGGUGCCCGCAAGGGAGCCGGGACACAGGUGCUGCAUGGCCGUCGUCAGCUCGUGUCGUGAGAUGUUGGGUUAAGUCCCGCAACGAGCGCAACCCCUAUCCCUAGUUGCCAGCAGUUCGGCUGGGCACUCUAUGGAGACUGCCUGCGAAAGCAGGAGGAAGGCGGGGAUGACGUCUGGUCCGCAUGGCCCUUACGGCCUGGGCGACACACGUGCUACAAUGCCAAGGACAGAGCGCUGCUACCUCGCGAGAGGACGCCAAUCGCAAAAACCUUGGCUCAGUUCGGAUUGGAGUCUGCAACUCGACUCCAUGAAGCCGGAAUCGCUAGUAAUCGCGAAUCAGCCAUGUCGCGGUGAAUAC